rnacentral:rRNA from 1 species
GGGGAAUAUUGCACAAUGGGCGAAAGCCUGAUGCAGCGACGCCGCGUGCGGGAUGAAGGCCUUCGGGUUGUAAACCGCUUUUAAUUGGGAGCAAGCGAGAGUGAGUGUACCUUUUGAAUAAGCACCGGCUAACUACGUGCCAGCAGCCGCGGUAAUACGUAGGGUGCAAGCGUUAUCCGGAAUUAUUGGGCGUAAAGAGCUCGUAGGCGGUUUGUCACGCCUGGUGUGAAAGUCCAUCGCUUAACGGUGGAUCUGCGCCGGGUACGGGCAGGCUAGAGUGCAGUAGGGGAGAUUGGAAUUCCCGGUGUAACGGUGGAAUGUGUAGAUAUCGGGAAGAACACCAAUGGCGAAGGCAGAUCUCUGGGCUGUUACUGACGCUGAGGAGCGAAAGCAUGGGGAGCGAACAGGAUUAGAUACCCUGGUAGUCCAUGCCGUAAAACGGUGGAUGCUGGAUGUGGGACCCUUCCACGGGUUCCGUGUCGGAGCUAACGCGUUAAGCAUCCCGCCUGG